CAAAAGUGCUGGGAUUAGAGCUCCAGCCUGUGCUCACAGCCCCAGCCUGUGCUCAGCCUCAUAAAUACUUUUGAGUCACUGUGCCCAGCCUCAUACAUACUUUUGAGUAAAUGGAUGAAUGGUGUUGUCAAAGUCAAAUAUUAUGAAGUAUUUGAAAUCACUUCAAAAAAUUAUAAAGGAGAAACAUGUAAAGCAUUGUUUCUUCUCAACUAGAUUGUAAGUUUCUUCAUUUUAGGAACUGAGUCUUAUACUCUUUAUUUCCCAUCAAUCUAGCAUUUCCACCUAGUAGGUACUCUGUAAAUAAUUAUGCGUAUCACUACAGUGUUUAAAAGAACAUGAUAAUACUUGCAACAAACAACCUGAAAAUGAAUUUAAGAAAAAAAAUCCCAUUUAUAAUACCAUCAAAAAUAAUAAAAUCCUUAGAGAUGAAUUUAACAAAGAAGCACAAAACUUAUACUCUGAAAAGUACAAAACACUGUUGAAAGAAGUUAGAGAAGACCUAAAUAAAUGUAAAAACAUCCCAUGUUCUUGGCAAUAUUUUCCAAGUUGAUCAAAAGAUUAAACACAAUCACUGUCAAAUCCCAACUGGCUUCUUUGCAGAAAUUGACAAACAGAUCCCAGGAUUUAUAUAGAAAUCCAAGGGACCCAAAAUACCCAAAACAAUCUUGAAAAAGAGGAGCAAGAUUGAAGAACUCACAUUCCUUAUUUUAAAACUUACUACAAAGCUACUGUAAUCAAGACAGCAUGGUAGUGGCAUAAGGAUAGACAUAUGGCUAUCCAGUGGAAUAGAGUUAAAAGUCCAAGAAUAAACUCUCACAUUUUCAGUCGGUUGCUUUUUGACAUAAGUGCCAAGACAAUUCAGUGGGGAAAAAUAGUCUUUUCAAGUAGUGCUAGGACAACCGCAUAGCCACAUGCAAAAGAAUUAAAUUGGAUUUCUAUUUCACACUACAUACAAAAAUUAACUCAAAAUGAGUCAAAGACCUAAAUCCAAGAGUUAAUUAAAACUAUAAAACUCUUAGAAGGAAACAUAGGUGUAAGUCUUUGUGACCUUGGAUAAUGCAAUGAUUCCUUAGAUAAAGGCACAAUUUAAAAAAUAGAUCGAGUGGACCUCAUCAAAAUUAAAAACUUUUGCUUCAAAUCACACCAUUGAGGAAGUGAGAAGACAACUCACAGAGUGGAAGAAAAUGUUUGCAAUUCAUAUAUCUGAUAAGAGACUUGUAUCUAGAAUAUAUAAAAAACUCUAACUCAAAAGGAUAAAGACAAGUAGCCCAAUUUAAAAAUGGACUAAGGGGCCGGGCGCGGUGGCUCACGUCUGUAAUCCCAGCACUUCGGGGUCCAAGGAGGGCAGAUCACGAGGUCAGGAGAUCGAGAUCAUCCUGGCUAACACGGUGAAACUCCGUCUCUACUAAAAAUUAGCUGGGCGCGGUGGCGGGCGCCUGUAGUCCCAGCUACUUGGGAGGCUGAGGCAAGAGAAUGGCAUAAACCCAGGCGGCGGAGCUUGCAGUGAGCCGAUAUCUCGCCACUGCACUCCAGCCUGGGUGACAGAGCGAGACUCCAUCUUAGAAAAAAAAAAAAAAAGAUCUGAAUAGAAAUUUCUUCAAAGAAGAUAUACAAAUGGCCAGUAAGCACAUUAAAAUGUUUCCUACAUAUUCCUAACAUUAUUAGCUAUCAAGAAAAUACAAAUCAAAACGACUAUGUGAUACCACUAGGAUGGUUACAACAAUAAUAAAUACAAGGUAAUAAUAAGUGUUGGUGAGGAUGUGGAAAAAUUGGAAUCCUCAUACAUUGCUGGUGGGAAUAUAAAAUGAUGCGGCCACCUUGGAAAACAGCAUUUCCUCAAAAUGUUAAACCUAGAGUUACCACAUGACCCAGUAGUUCCACUUCUAGGUAUAUACCUAAGAGAAAUGAAAACAUGUAUCUACAUAAAAACUUGUAUAUGAAUGUUCAUGGCAGCAUUGUUCAUAGUAGCAGAAAACCCAAAUGUCCAUCAAUUGAUAAUGGAUAAAUAAAAUGUGGGACAUCCAUAUAAUGGAAUAUUAUUUGGCAAUAAAAAAGUAAUGAAAUAUUGAUAUAUGCUAUGACAUGGAAGAACCUUGAAAACAUUAUGCCAACUGAAAGUAGCUGGUCAUAAAAGAAUACAUAUUGUAUAAUUUCAUUUAUAUGAAUUAUUCAGUGUAUAGGUAUACUCUAUAUUUGGAGUAGAGGUAUUCAGGGUACAGGUAAAGGUAUAGGUACAUGCUAUAGUCAGGGUAUAAGUUCAGGGUAUAGGUAAAGCUAUAGAGACAGUAGAUUAGUGGUUGCCUAAAGCUAGGGAUAUUGUGGGGAAUAGGGAGUGACUGCUAAUAGAUACAGGUUUUCUCUUUGGGGUGUGGAAAUAUAUAUACAUAUACAUAUAUAUGUACACAUAUACAUAUAUAUACACACAUAUACAUAUAUACACACAUAUACAUAUAUAUAUACAUAUACAUAUAUAUAUAUAUAUAUACACACAUAUACAUAAUAUAUAUAUUUUUGAGAUGGAGUCUAGUUCUGUUGCCCAGGCUGGAGUGUAGUGGCAUGAUCUCAGCUCACUGCAACUUCCGCCUCCCGGGUUCAAGUGAUUCUCCUGACUCAGCCUUCCAAGUAGCUGGGAUUACAGGAGCCUGCUACCACGCCCAGCUAAUUUUUGUAUUUUUAGUAGAGAUGGGGUUUCACCAUGUUGGUCAGGCUGGUCGGUCUCGAACUCCUGACCUCAUAAUCUGCCUGCCUUGGCCUCCCAAAGCGCUGGGAUUACAGGUGUGAGCCACUGCAACCAGCCUAUUUCUUCAUUUUUCUAUCAGCUCAGUGCUUUGGAGCAUAGAAUGAAAGUUGUAGGCAGAUUAUUCUUUUCUUUUCUUUUUUUGAGAUGGGGUCUCACUCUGUGGCCCAGGUUGGAGUGCAGUGGCACGAUCUCAGCUCACUGCAACCUCUGCCUUCUGGGUUCAAGCGAUUCUCCUGCUUCAGCCUCCCUGAGUACCUGGGAUUACAGGCGUGUGCCAUCAUGCCCAGCUAAUUUUUGUAUUUUUAGUAGAGACUGGGUUUUGCCAUGUUGCCCAGGCUGGUCUCAAACUUCUGAGCUCAAGUGAUCUGCCCGCUUCAGCUUCCCAAAGUGCUGGGAUUUCAGGUGUGAGCCCGUGUGCCCGGCCAGUAGGGUGGAUCUUAAAGGAGAAACAAGAGGUGGAACAAGGACGAAAGGGAAUUCAAUUUGCUGAGUUUUUUGGGGAAAGCUGAGAAGCGUGUUCACUUUCCUAGCCAAUGUAAUUAGGUAAGUUUAAUGUCAAGACUCCAAAUGUGACUGUUUUUUAUUGAGAUUUCUAGUUUUGGUUGUGGUGUUUGAAACUUAAUUGACCCAGCCACCUUCUUUGGGUCCAGAGACACUUAAAAUGUGAAACAUUGACCUUUUGUCCUUAGUGUCCUUCAUCUUUCUGAAGAUCUGGAUAAUUGGUGGGUGUGGAAGAAAGCCAGGGAGAACCUUGUGUCUGUCUUGAGAAUGAAAGGGUGACAGGAAACCAGGGAGUGACUCAGGGAGACUGGAGUCUAGAAACACAAUGCUCUGAAGACUUCCCUGGGUAUAUAAUGGGAAGGAACUUGGAGGUCUUGAUGACUGCUUGGACUCCUACUUUGCUGCAGUUUCUAUUCUAAUCUCUAUUUUUGUCCUUUCUCCAGGAUCCAAACUUCAGUGACCUGAGUACCUGUCACACCUAUUUGUUCUGAAUAGCCCCUUUGAACAGAGCCUUUCUUGACAGAGAAAAGGAGUAUUGGUAGGUGUGGGAGGCAGGGAGAUCUAGCAAAAAAGAAAAAAAAAGAAUUAUUAAUAGCUGUAGUCAUUGGGAAACUCAGCCUGAUGGGGAAAACAAUAAUCAGAUUUAAGAACUAAGAAUCAACAAAUAUAAAGACUUUCUUCAUUAGAACAAAAGCUUCCUUGAUAAAAAAAAAAAACGUUGAGCUAGAUUUUAAAGGACCUUUAGAAUGCAUAUUGUGGCAAAGGAGAAGAAACUCCACCCAAGGCAGCCAGCAUAAGCAUGGUGGAGGAAGCAUUUUCUCCCAUAAUGUUGGGCCUCAGCCACAGGAAUAAGCGCUGCCCAGAGCUAGUUAGCUGUGACCCUGUUCCUGCAUAUCCUGAGUGAUUUGAUGUGACUAGCUGAAGUCCAGUUAAGGGUCAAUUGAGGGAGCAAGUGAGGGGAUACUAUGAAGUAACAGUUUGGCUUGGGUCUUGACUGGAGAAUUCAGUGCGUUUGAGGUUGCCUCUAAGAGGAGUAGAAAUAAGAGCAUUAGGAGCCCUUGCUGCCGUUUGGGUUACCUACACCAAAACAGAUUUGUGUUCUGCUCUCUGGCCAGCCCUAUUCUCUGCUCUUCUUAUCCCAACUUGCCUAAUUGAUACCUUGGCCGAUGGUGUCAUUAACAAUGCUUGAAUAAUAGCCUGACUGGCUGAUUUCAAAAUGAGAGACAUGAUUAAUAUGUCGGAAAUCCAGCUGGGGGGAGCAGGAAAGGGGAUGUCCCAAGAAAAAGAAAAUGGGGGAGGGGUCCUUCACUCCCUUACUGCCAGUCCACUGUCUUCAGCAGAAGGGAAGAACUUGGGGAUAGGAGUCUGACUUCAGCUCCUUCUUGGUUUGCUGAUCCCUCUCCAUUUCUCUCCCCUACCUCCCCCAACAGCACACGUUCUGACACCUACAAGCUCGUUACAUGAUGAUGACCUAUAUUUUUAUCUUUUUUAUGAGCAUCAAACACACAUUGUCUUGCAAGCACAUGUGUUUUUUUCCCCUGUUGACGUGUGAGUGCCUUUGAUGGUAAUUUAUUGUAGGGUUGAACAGCCAGGUCUUAAUUGUACCCUGAAAUUGCUUACCAUUUUGAUGCCUCCAAACCAUCCCAAAAUGUACCUUUUUCCUACAGAAGGGUAUGGGGCAAUCUCUUUUUUACUGUGUUAUAUGGUGGAAUGUGAAGCUUAGAGAGAACAUGAGGGAAAGAUUCCCUAGCUGGGUUUCAGGGACGCCUUGGUCCCCAGCUUCUAAUUGCAGUUGGGCUGUCUGAAAGUUCUGCUCUACUCAACAAAAUUUAGACUCAGUUUUUCCCUCAUGGUAUAGGGUCAACAUGACUUCACUGGUUGCUUAGAAUGGUCAACGGGCAGUUUCUACUCCAGCAUUCAGACUUUUGGGGAAAUUUCCAUUGUGGCCACUUGUAUCUGUGACUGUAGACGGGAUUAGAAAUGAGAAUGUGGGCAUUAACCUAGGGAGCCUGGGCUAUGAGAGGCAGCAUAUCAGGCCUUCUGCAGUAUCCUGUAAUAACCUCUACCUCCACAUCUGACCACUUCCUCCCUUGGCUUAGGUAGAAUUCAACAUUCCUGUGUGCAGGGGAAUAUAGGAAUACCAGAGAACACAAAAGCCCAACAGAACUUAGUGGUUUGGUUUUGUUUGGUUUUUGAGACAGGGUCUCACUCUGUCACCCAGGGCAGAGUGCAGUGGUGCAGUCUCAGCUCACUGAAGUCUCGCCCUCCCGGGCUCAAGCGAUCUUCCCACCUCAGCCUCCUGAGUAGCUGGGACUAUAGGCGUGUGCCGCCAUACCUGGCUAAUUGUUUUUUUGGCGGAGACAGAGUCUCACUAUGUUGCCCAGGCUGGUCUUGAAUUCCUGGGUUCAAGCAAUCCUCCCACCUCGGCCUCUCAAGGUGCUGGGAUUACAGUUGUGAGCCACCACACCUGGCCAGAGCUUAGUUUUUAAUUAUAAUUUGAGUUUGGGCCUAAUAGUCUCCUUUGCUGUGGCCUCACUUUGUCCCUCAGUACAAUAGACAGCAUCAUACCCUAGGACACUCACAUUCAUUACAGAAGGAUGAGUCAGUGUUCCAGAACAACUAGAAAUGUAACCCAUGUCUCAUGAAAAUAUAAGGAGAAAAGAAAGACUGAAAUUCCUAUCAUUCCCUCUGGAGAGGCCAGGGGUAGUAUCCAAUGUUAACCCAGGCUGCUGUGCUGGAAACCGGUCUACCUGCAGACUGGAUCCGUGUUAGUUCUUGCUACAGACUCUCCAUUCCAGCUGAGUUCAUUCUUCUGUCUCUCACACAUGAUGCUCAUUGCAUGUGCUUGUUCAUACUUGCCUCCAAACAUGUAUACAGGCCAGUUUCCUCCUCUCCUACUCCAGGUACUGUUUCUCCAUCCUCCCUGUCCAACUUUGUCCAUUUUCUUUGUAGAUACCCAGUCCUACCUGAGCUCACUUCCACCAGAAAACUUUCUUAAUUGGCCUUCCCUGGCUCCAAGGACUGUACUAUUCUAUAGUUCCUCAACAUUGUAUUAUUUGCACUUAUUUCUGUGAUCUACUGUCUGCCUGUGUCCAUGGAGGGAUGUUGUGUAUCUGUCUCAAUGAGCCUCCUGACUGAGAGCAGAGCUAUUACUACUGUCACCUUCUUCAGUGGAUUAAAAUCUCUUCUGUUAAAGGCCUCUCUCUUCUGAGAGACUUUACACUCUUCCUUGGUGUCCGUGGCAGUGGAGUUGUAUAGGAGCAAAUGAGCUUGAGAAAGACAGCAGCUUCCAUGAUGGAGUCCAUGUGAAAUCUCAUUUUCCUAUAAUAACUAGGACAUUAUUGAUUCUCAAACUUCAGAAAAUGAGUUGGUUAUCUGGAAAUUUCAAAGAAAUAUGGUGCAUCUCUUAAUUACCUGGUUUUCCAAUAUACAGAUAAUAAAAUUAGAAUUCUGUUGCUUGAUCUUCAGAGCCCUCCACGGCGACAAUAAUAUUGGGAUCAACAUUCUUUUACAUAACCUAGACUGCAAUCUCAUGGGUCUACUUGAGUUUCUUCAACUUGUUCUAUGCCUCCAGACCUUUGCAUGUGCUAUUCUUUCUGUCUGGAAUGCCAUCCUUUCCUCAUCAACUUGCCAAGAUCUGAUCCUUCAUUUAAAGCCUAGCUUAAAAUCUUCUCCAAGAUUACGUCCCAGAUCGCUCUAGCGAGAAUUAUUUCUGACCCUCCUGCAACUAUAGUGUCACAUUGUUUGAGUCUCUAUUAUACUACUAGAAUAAUAUUUACAUAUGUAUUUAUCUCUUUUACUAUUUUGUAGGUUAUGAGAAGGUGGAAAUUGUAUAUAUUUUUUUCUCUUCUUUUUUUCCUCCUUAUUCUCUGCCAUCUUGUAUCAAUUUGAAACUAACUCCCCCAAGAUUGUUUAUGUUUUAACUGUAUAUCCCUUUAUAUUCCUGGGCUUAACAUAAUGCCUUGCAUAGGAGAUGCUCAAGAAAUAUAAAUUAAUUUGGAUAAUAGAGCCAGGUUUUUUUUUCUUGUUUUCAACUUUUAUUUUAGAUUUCAGGGCUACACAUGCAGGUUUGUUACAAAGGUAUAUUAUGUGAUGCUGUGGUUUGGAGUACAAUUGAACCCUUCACCCAGGAAGUGAGCAUAAUACCCAGUAGGGAGUUUUUCAGUUCUUAACCCCCUCCCACCUGUAAAGAGAGUUUACACUCUUCCUUGUUCUCCCAUUUUUAUGUCCAUGGCAGCAGAGUUGUAUAGCUUUAUCAAGCUCAUCUUCAUUCCUCAGUACUCCCAUCAACUACUCACUCUCCCACCAUUUCAGUUCUCCUGACUUUCAACAAAGCCUUUUCAUGCUAAGAUAAACCUUCCAUAGUUACCCUGUGUCAUUUCUGAUGGUCUGCACGGCUGUUCUGUUCUGUCCUAUUCUUGUGUGCUCAAUCCUGUAGCUUCGUUCUUGCCAAGCUCUGGUCUAUUAUCUCCUCUUCCUCCUCUGGAAAGUCUACUUUAACUAGCUUCCAUAAAUGUCCUUACCCCUCAUUCUCCCAGCAUUGAUAGCGAAGAUGGUACUCCAGCAUUAAUUCUCUGUUUAUCUGUAUCUUGUUUUCCAUUGUAUGGGAAACUUCCCCAUACUGAUAUUCCUUUUCCUGUUAACCAGAGUUCAUAUUCAUCCCCAUAGCUUCCAGUUCCUCUAGUCAGAGAAAUCAUUGACUGGCUUUCUCUUGCUUGGAAAGUCAACCAACUUUAGCAAGUGACAAUAAAGAGAGAUUUAGAACCUACUGACCCUCUCAAUCCCUUCCUUGCCCUCUCAGGCCCCCCUUUCAACCUUUCCUUCCUUCCACAAAUGCUGGCUGAGCCUGCGUUAUGUGCUAGGCGCUGCUAUAGGUUACCAUGCUUCUCCCCUGUAUAAAGCUUAUACUCGAUGCUCCUUCUGAAUGGGAGUUUAGAUAUUGGUCUGAUACUAGAAACACUUAAUCAAAUGCUCCCAAACAAUGUCAUAAGUGUGAAUUCUGAUGGAGUACAGAAUUAGGAUAUCUCUUCUCUGUAAGCCAUUCUCUCCAUUCUUGAAAUUGCUAUUCAUCUUUGGCCCAUCUCUCAGAACUUGAUACAGAAUAGUUUUUGUGUCUCAUUCUGUGAUGAGCAGUUAGUCCAUCUCAAAAAUAAUUUUAGCGUUUACUGAAGAACCCCAAGGAGAGGAGUGGGGAAACUAGAUAGUCUAAUCUCCCACUGUCCCAUAGAAACACAUACAUGUGAACUCACCUGCAGGCUUAUGUAAUUACAUGUUGUUGAAACUAAAUGGCUAAGUUAAACUGGAGUAAAGAAGUAAUCUCAAUUAGUUGCAGUUAUAAGGGAAGACUCUGCAAGAAAAGGAUUUGAGCUGGGUUUUGAUGGGAGAUUGUGGGAAGCAGUCUGUGAAGACAACACUCUAGGUGAUGAGAGACAUUCAUUGUUCAGUCUGAGGCUUAAAUGUGAGAAGAGUCAGGCUAUGGGGGUUAGUGAAAGUGUUAUCUUGGCUGAAGCAUAGCUCUAAGUUGGAAAAUUCCAAAGAAAUGGGUUUAGUGAGAAAUUAGGAUGAAAUUGCUAGAGGACCUAAAUGACCAACCUAGGAUGUGUCUUCCUAGCUGAAGGCAGGGCCAUAAAUAGAAUAAUUUCAGGAGGGCUAAAAUGUUUAUUCUUCCCCUUAGCUUUUGAGAACAAGAGACUAAGGUUUCUGGGACUCUGACUUUAUAUGACUAAGGUGCUCCUCUCACAUGAAGUAAAGCAUAAAGACCAAGUAUAAUGUAAACCUAAUGUCUAGAUUUUUCUAUAAUAUUGUUUAAAUUUCAGUUGUAAUUAUCUGUCCAAAUGGACUCCACACUUUGUUUUGCCUCGUUCUAUUCUGGAAUCAUAUGAUGGCCUGCAGAAUUUAACUUAACCAGCCACAUGCUCCUUGCCUCAUUCAGCCUACCCAUUUUUUCUGUAUGAAAAGGUUUCACAGUAAAGCAAAGAAACUUUUACACCUGGCAUCUAUCCCUUGACCUUUAACUUUCUGGAGUCACCUUACUUGAAGGAAGGAAAUACCACCUAGAAACUGCCCCUGGAUUUUUCCCAGCCUGUUGCACAGAGGUCUUCCAAACCUGGGUUAUGCUAACUGAUGGCAGAGGAGAAGAGUCCCAGCCCUAGCUUCCCAAAUUUUUGUGAUAUUUUCACCUUGAACCUCUGCUGGAAUUUUCUCUGAAGCAGAAAGAAGAGGUGGUCACUUUUCAAAUUGUUUAUGCUUUUAUACUUUUCAGAUUAUGAGGGGGAAAUAUUAUAAUGUGUCUACCUCUUCCCCUUGGCAUAUUUAGAUUUAAAAGACAAAAUAUCAAGAAAGGAAUUAAUUUUGUAGAGAAAUAAUAAAUAGAAUUAGCAAAGAAGAACUUUCCAACAGCAUGGUUUACUGAAGGAAACUGGGCAGUCCCUCUAUCUGAGGAUCUAGAAGAAUAGGGUCAAUUAGCAUUUGUCUGCAGAUUUUGAAGGCAGUGAAAUGAAUGAGAAGACUCUCCAAAGCUCUGUCUGCAGGCCAGACUCAGUGAUAUCAGAACGGGACAUAGAGAGAGGAAGCAAGGGUGACUCAAACCCAUCUUUUAAGGCCUCUCUUCCCUAUGGUUGCGUGCACCUCUGGUUUCUAAAAAAAUUUUUUUUUGCCUCGUUUGCUUCAGAGAUGGGUGGCUUUGAGGAAGUGAAGAUAAAAUUUAUUCAACCUAGAUGUGUAAAUAGAAUUUUGUGACCAAUUUUGAUAUGACUUUUAUAUCUAGACUUAUAGCCAGGGGUGAAUUUUCAUACUGGCAUAGGGUCAACUCCUUAUUCCUGAUUUGUGCACUAUCCACUUUGUGGAUUUUUGCAGACUCCAUACUUCCACUGCCUUGGGUUUGACAGAAACACUGAGUCAGAGCAAGCAUCAGGGAUAGACUCAAAGGGUGUGUUUGUAUGUAUGUGUAUGAGUGUAGGUAUCCAAAGAUAAAGCAAUGAGGAUUUAUUUCACUUCUCUUUUCUCUUUGUAACACUAAUUACAUUUGUGAAACUGUUUAAUGGUGGCCUCUACUACUAGACAGUAAGCUACAUACAAGGCUUGUGCACCAUUGAAUACUUAGCACUUAGCAUAGGACUUGGCACAUGGCAGACACUCAGCAAAUGACAAAAUCAUGUGGCCUCUGCUCUCAUCCACUGACUCAGAUAAUGAGAAGUGUCUCCUCCUCAGGGGCCAGGGGGAUGCUCUGCUAUGGCAAGUGGAGGAAUCAGAGAUGAUCCAUGGAGCCUGUGAUAUGACCUCCCCAGUGAGGCUGUCAGCCCUAGGGUAGAUUCCUUGUUGACUAUCCUCUUCUUAUCACUGGUAGCAUCUUAUCACAAUACUUGGGGCACGGGCCAGGGAGUUACCCAGGGCUGAGGAUGGGAGGAGGUAAGUCCUGGCUAUCAGGAUAGACAUCUUAUUCCAGCAGCAGUUGUCCUAGAUGUGGCCUGUUUCCCAGCCCACUGACCUUUAGGGCACAGUGGGGGGUUGGGAGCAUGAGUCAGAGAGGAAUGUGGGACUGGUUGCUUGGGAGUUUCACUCUCUGGGGAGAAGCUGGUUCCCCAUGCCUAUCAGUUUUCUAAUGGCAUCUCUAGAGGCAGAGCCUAGAAACAAUUACUUGAAGGAGUCGGACGAAGCACCCACACUCUUUUGAACCCCUAGGAUGUUGGCAGGAAGAUAAUUUAAAUAGAUUUUAACAGGCACAGGACAGAAAAGUAUUGUAGAGUAUUUCAAUAGAAAUCUGAGGCUGGGUACAAUGGCUCAUGCAUGUAAUCCCAGCACUUUGGGAGGCCAAAGCGGGAGGAUCACUUUAGCCCAGGAGUUCAAGACCAGCCAGAGCAGUAUAGUAGGACCCCGUAUCUACUAAAAACAAAAAGCCAGAUGUGGGAGCACGUGCCUGUAGUCCCAGCUAUUCAGGAGACUGAGGUGAGAGGAUUGCUUGAGCCCAGGACGUUGAAGCUGCAGUGAGCCCUGUUCAUGCCUCUGCACUCCAGCCUGGGUGACAGAGCGAGACCCUGUCUCAACAAAACAAAACAAAACACACGCACACACACACGCUCAAAAAAAAAGAAAAAAAAGAAAAAGAAAGGAAAAUUUAAGAUAUCCUCUUAUCCAUACUUCUGCCUCCAUCCCAGAUAAAUACAAAAUCUCUCUUUGAAGAUUUUCUAAAGUGAGGGGAUUCCACUGUUAGGUAACCAUGGUAACCACUACACCACAGCACACUUAUGAGAACAUUCUACUGUUAAAUCUAGCUGAAUGUAGCCUGCAACAUGGAAGCCAUGACCAGGACAGUGGAAGUGCAGUGUGAAUUAUCCAAGCAAUCAUUUCCUCAUUCCUUGGGUGGGAGUGGGCAGACACGCCCAGGAGUCCCUCACCCUGCCUCCCACGAUGCUCUGCUUCUUCAUACAGUGCACACAGUGGUGGGAGAUGGCAGCAGGGGCAGAGAGGCCCUCAUUCUGGAGAGGGGACCUAUGAAUCUUGUAAAUAUGAUGACAUCAGCAAUGACAGACUCUUCAGCCGCCUGGUAGUCUGUCAUUGAAGCCAGGAAUUCAGCACACGCUCAGACACACCCAGCCUUCACCAUGGGUUCCCAGAAGCAAGUUCUCGCAUAGCCACUAGGCUGGGAGGACCCUCACUUAACCAACCCUCCCUGACAAGCUCCAAGGCCUCAGAGUCGAAUCCUAAAUUUCCAACUUAGCAAUAAUUUUUUUUAAAUUGCAUGAUGCUGAGGCUUGGGGUAUGGAUGAUCCCGUCACCCAGGUAAUGAGCAUAGUACCCAGUAGAUAGUUUUUCAUUCCUUGCCCCUCUCCCUCCUUCCCCUCUCCAGUAGUCCCCAGUGUCUGUUGUUGCCAUCUUUAUGUCCAUGUGCGCUCAAUGUUUAGCUCUCACUUAUAAGUGAAAAGAUGCGGUAUUUCGUUUUCUAUUCCUGUGUUAGUUCACUUAGGAUAAUGGCCUCCAGCUACAUCCAUGUUGCUGCAAAGGACGUGAUUUCAUUCUUUUUUAUGGCUGCAUCCAACUUAGCAAUAAUUUUUAUCCCUCUCUGUUUUCAUUCUCAACAGUGCCUAAGUUGUUCAUGCUGGUUGUUCUCAGGUGUUUUAACCUCCCCAGUGAGUGAGAUCCAAGAUUCAUGGCAUUAUCAUGGGAAAUUCUUUCAUUUUGGUUUAACUGAAAUUUGUUUUUGUUAUUAUCAUCAGAGUCUAAAACUGAUCAAGCCAGAAAACUUCUACACUGCUCUGAAGUCCCAGACAAAUAGGCUGGAGAUUUUUCCUGCUGUUCUCCACCUCUCUCCAUAAUGAGAUGCUUUGUUUCCAUGAAUUGGCCCUGAUCCAGACUUCUAGACUCUAUGACAGGACAUUUCAUCCCUCCCUCUGCCUCCAGGCAGGACUGAACUUAACUCAUGCCAGGCUGAAGGGUGUCUCCUUCAGACCUUGUUUCAAGAUUUCCUGACUCUUUGGCCUCUUUCAGGUAAAAGCGCACAGCUGAUUGCCCCAAUGCCUAAUCUUAAUUUCCUAAUGGCAAUUCUAGCUCAUUUCUUUUCAUUGUGGAAAGGAAGAUCCACAUCUCCCUUAUACCUUUCCAGCUAAAAUUAUCUCAGUUCUUUUAUAAUGCUUCUCAGAUAUUAAUUUGAUCCCAUAUCUUCUUUGUGCUAGAGGAGGAAAAUUAGUGUUAGAUGAAAUGCGCUCCAUUAUCUGAGUAUUGUUGGCCUGAGCUAGUAUUCCAUAUUUUUAUCACUUUUGUUAUUGUGCUCCUCACCAACAUAUCUCAUUCUUUCUUUGCAUGGAGACUUCAAAUAUCAGUUUUAUCUACCUGGAAUGCCUUUCCCUCUCUCAUCAGUCUUGACCUUCCAUUACUUCCAAAUCCUGUUCCAUUCUCCCUCUCUAGACGACGUUUCCUAACUCUGCAUUUUCUGUGUAUUCCUGAUUCUUCUGAAUCCUACUAGUGGCAAUGUAAAGAACUUCAUUCAGCUGGCCUUAAGAUCUGCCCUUGCCUCACUCUCUCCGAGUAUGAAGCAUGGAUAAGAAGAGUUCUGAGAGCUUGCAGGGAACCAGUAGCACAGCGUAGUGGGAUGUAUAUAGCAAGUCAAGAACUUGGGAGUUCUAGUGUGGGUCUAUAACCCUGUGCACCUCAUAACCUCUCUGGCCUUUCCACUUAAUUAUGUAUGGACAAGGAAGCAUUGAAUUAGGCCAUCUCGAAGAAUUCUUUAACUUUAUAAAUGUUGUGAAUUUGUGCUUUCCUCUCUUUCUUGGUCUCUUUCAAUAUCAUGGACAGAACUCUACAAGCAGAGAAAUCACAGAAUAGGAGAAUAUGAACUAAAAGGCAUAGUCGAUAGGGAAAAACUUCAUUUUAAUAUGGAGGUAGUGCUGGUCAUAAUAAUUGGAAAUUUGUAGUGAGAAUGGGGGCAGGCUGCUGCACCUCCUUAACCUCUUGCAAUCUUUUUUUUUUUUUUUUUUUUUUAGACGGAGUCUCGCUCUGUCACCCAGGCUAGAGUGCAGUGGUGCGAUCUCUGCUCACUGCAAGCUCCGCCUCCCGGGUUCACGCCAUUCUCCUGCCUCAGCCUCCCCAGUAGCUGGGACUAUAGGUGCCCGCCACCACGCCUGGCUAAUUUUUUGUAUUUUUCAUAGAGACAGGGUUUCACCGUGUUAGCCAGGAUGGUCUCGAUCUCCUGACCUCAUGAUCUGCCUGCCUCGGCCUCCCAAAGUGCUGGGAUUACAGGUGUGAGCCACUGUGCCUGGCCUCCUCUUGCAAUCUUACAAACAUUGCUGUGAUGUGUUUUAAAGAGUAAGGAGGCUGGGCACAGUGGCUCAUGCCUGUGAUCCCAGCAAUUUGGGAGGCCAAGGUGGGCUGAUCACCUGAAGUCAGGAGUUUGAGAACAGCCUGGCCAACUUGGCAAAACCUCAUCUCUACUAAAAGUACAAAAGUUAGCUGGGCAUAGUGGCACAUGCCUGUAGUCCCAGCUACUUGGGAGGCUGAGACAGAAGAAUUGCUUGAACCCAGGAGGCGGAGGUUGCAGUGAGCCAAGAUUGUGCCACUGAACUCCAGCCUGGGCAACAGAGCCAGACUCUGUCUCAAAAGAGAAAAAAAAGGUAAGGAAAUGGAAGUGGCUCUGGCCUAAUUUCUACCUCCUCAGCACAGUGGCCAUCAGGCAUAUCCUAGCAAUAUGCUUGUACUAAUGUAAAAAGCUUGCUCCACCCUCAUUCAAGUCACUGAAGGAAGAUCCUACAUUAAGUUGUUACUCAUUUCUUUCUUGGGAAAUUCCCAAGUCCUAUAUGAGUAGAGAAGAACAUUUCUAUCUGGAGUCCAAAAGUCUUCAUUUUCUAAAUAGAACUUAAGUUUGUUCUAUGAUAUGUUGGUCAUUAUGCUUCAUAACAAUCCCUGAAAAUAAAGACUGUAAAAGAAGUAAUUUAUAAGGUUAUGUGGUCUUGUGUGCGUGUGUGUGUGUGUGUGUGUGUGUGUGUGUUUGAGAUAGAGAGAGACAGAAAUUCAUGUGAUUUUCACUGUGGACUAGAGGAGUCUUAGAGAAAUGUCAUACUGACCAUGCCACUUACUCUAAGCAGGGAUAGAUUCACAUGUUAUUUAUUUUGAAUCACAUUAUCUUAAGCAUCUGGACAACUUAGAUUUUAUUCAAAGCUGAAGAGCUAGAGGAGAGAGGGGAGGGAAAGUAAGUAUAGGGUAUUUAUUAAAUACCUACUGUAUGUUAGGUAUUGUGAAAGACUUUAUAUAUCAUAUAUACUCAACAUAAGGUGAGAUUUUAUCUUCCCAAGCUACUUUCUCAGAAAAGAGGAAGUUAUUUUAUAUUUGAAUCCUUACAAAGUCUUACAUUAUAGGGUACUUUCUCAAUUGCUUUUUAAGGAAGACACAUUAGUCUGUAAAAGCAAAAAGCAAACAACCUCUUCACCCCCAAACAAACAAAAAAUAACCAGUGAGGGUUUGGAUUACCUAUAGAGGCCAUUUGAUGGGAUUUCUUUUUUAAGUGGACUUCAGUUUCUGGGAAUGUGAAAGGCUUGGGCUGGGUUAUUUGAAUCAACGUUCCUGCUGAAAAUAGCUUUAAAAUGCUGGAUAAAAUAGUUAAGACAUCUUAAAAGCAUGAAAGAGCCAACAAAAUAGUAGGGAAAUAUCAGGUCAAAAUCUAGUUGAAAGUGAAAACUCAAAGUGAUAAGUGAAACAAAAAGGCUACUUUUAACCAGAAGGUAUUUGCUGAUAGAAGCAAACUUGCACUCUGGUUUUGAUGGCUGGUCUGAGAACUUCAAACUCAUGGCUGGCCCGAAGUUAUGAAUCUAAUAGGAGACUGACCCCAUAUAAAACUGAAAAAUCAAAGAGUUAUACCCUUAGUGUAAGGUGAAAUAGAAGUAAACCUAGGCUGGGCAUGGUGGGUCAUGCCUGUAAUCCCAGCAUUUUGGGAGACCAAGGUAGGAGGAUUUCUUGAGCCAAGGAGUUCAAGACCAGCCUGGGCAACAUAGGAAGACCCAGUCUCUACAACUAACAAAAUCAGCUGGGUGUGGUGGCACACACUUAUGGUUCCAGGUACUUGGGAGGCUGAGGCUACAGUGAGCCAUGAUUGUGCCACUGCACUCCAGCCUGGGUGACAGGAUGAGACCCUGUCUCCAAGAAAAAAAAAAGUAAACCUACCCCCUCUGCCACAUCUCCAAGGGACUAUAAGAAAGUUUCCUUGGUGCUGAGCAGAGCAGAAGGAAAAAGUCCAAGCCAGCCUGAUUUGCAGCCCAAAUUUAUAUCACCUAGGUAGUAAAAGAAAACCUCAAACCUUGAAUUUAAUUUUAAAUGAUUCCAGAUUAGUAUUUCCUUUGGGGACCUAGCAAAAGCAAAGGCAAAUCCUCCCUCAAUGAAGACCUCUUCAUCCUAAGCCUCAAAAAUCUCCACAAGUAAUUCUUCAAAGGCAGUGAGCAAAUAAGCACAUAGGGAGAGAAGGCACCGUGAGUAAGAAUCAGCAAAAACAACAGACAGCAGAAACAGAUGCACAAAGCCUCCAGAGAUUGAAACUACCUGUUAGGCACAUGUUAAAAAACAAGCCUGAAAAUAUUUCCGGGAAUGUAAAAAGUGAUCUAAUGGAUUUAAAGCAGAACCAAGUAGAAUGAUUCUAACAGCAAAUUGGACCCAAUUGAAGAGAUAAUUAGUAAAUUAGGAGACAGAUCAAAAGAAAUCCAGAAUGAAGCACAAUGUGGUGAAAGUAUGAAAAUAUCAAACAGAGUUGAGAUAUAUGGAAAAUAGAGGGAGAAGACCCGUAUCAACCAAUAAUUAAGGCUCCAAAAUUAAACAAGACAAAGAAUAGAACAGAGGCAAUGUUUGAAGAAAUAAUGACAGGAUUUUCUUAAACUGAUUAAAGUCACUCAGAAGCCCAGUGAAUUCCAAGCAAGAUAAAUAAAUAAAAAAAAUAAAUCCAACCCUAACAUAUGAAACUACAGAACAUGAAAUAUGAAGAGAAAAAUAAGGAGAUAAGAAAAAAGAUAAAAAUAAGAAAAAUAAGGAGAUAAGAAACUUCUGCUUCUGGUCACAAAGAAGUAACUGACAUGAAACUUGUCCUUCCAUCCUAAACAAGUGCUAUAUACAUGAAAAUAUAUAUAUAUAUAUAUUUACUGAAUGGGUUUAAUAACAGAUUUGACACUACAGAAGAAAAGAUAAAUGCGCUUGAAGACAUAGAAAGAAACCAUACAAACGGAGGCAUAGAUAGAAAAAAUACUGAAAAACAAAAAGAAGGCAUUAAUGACUGCAGGGACAAUAUCAAGUAGUUUAACAUUUAUGUAAUAGGAUUAAGAAAAUUUUGAUGGAAUAAUGGAUAGCUUCCCCUCAAUUUAAUAAAAACUAUAAACCUAUAAAUUUAAGAAGCUCAGUGACCCUAGGCUGGCUAAACAUAAAGACAACUACACCAAGGCACAUCAUAAUCAAAUUGCUGAAAAAUUUUAAAGUAGCUAGGGAAGAUAUAUUAAAUAUAAGGGAACAAAGAUAAGAAUUAUUAGACAUGGUUUGUCAGCAUCAAUGUAAGCCAGGAGACAUUGGAAGAACAUUUUUUUUUUCACCUAGCAAAUUAGCAAUUUUUAUUUCUUUGUUUCGUUUUAUUUUAUUUUAUUAUUAUUAUACUUUAAGUUUUAGGGUACAUGUGCACAACGUGCAGGUUUGUUACAUAUGUAUACAUGUGCCAUGUUGGUGUGCUGCAUCCAUUAACUCGUCAUUUACAUUAGGUAUAUCUCCUAAUGCUAUCCCUCCCCUGCUCCCCCCACCCCACAACAGGCCCCGGUGUGUGAUGUUCCCCUUCCCGUGUCCAUGUGUUCUCAUUGUUCAAUUCCCACCUAUGAGUGAGAACAUGCGGUGUUUGGUUCUUUGUCCUUGCAAUAGUUUGCUGAGAAUGAUGGUUUCCAGUUUCAUCCAUGUCCCUACAAAGGACAUGAACUCAUCAUUUUUAUGGCUGCAUAGUAUUCCAUGGUGUAUAUGUGCCACAUUUUCUUAAUCCAGUCUAUCGUUGUUGGACAUUUAAGUUGAUUCCAAGUCUUUGCUAUUGUGAAUAGUGCCGCAAUAAACAUACGUGUGCAUGUGUCUUUACAGCAGCAUGAUUUAUAAUCCUUUGGGUAUAUACCCAGUAAUGGGAUGGCUGGGUCAAAUGGUAUUUCUAGUUCUAGAUCCCUGAGGAAUCGCCACACUGUCUUCCACAAUGGUUGAACUAGUUUACAGUCUGGAAGAACAUUUUUAAAGUACUGAAUGAAAAAUAUGUGCCAACCUGAAAUUCUAUGUCCAGUUAAAAUGUUUUUCAAAGUAAAGGUUAAUAAAGACUUGUUUCCACACAAACAGAAUCCGAAUGAAUACUGAGUGCUAAAGGAAGAUUUUUAGGUUGAAUGAAAAGGAUAUUGAAUAGAAACUUGGACUUAUAAGAGUUUCAGAAAUGGUAAGUAUAUGGGUAAAUAUUAAGACUUUUUCUUGUUUUUAAAUUUUCUUUAAAAGUUAACAGGCUAUUUACGAGGUGGGCAGAUCACUUUGAGCCCAGGAGUUCGAGACCAGCCUGGGCAACAUGGCAAAACCCUGUUUCUGCAAAAAAUACAAAAAUUAGCCAGACAUGGUGGCACAUGCCUAUAUUCCCAGCUACUCAGGAGGCUGAGGUGGGAGAAUUGCUUGAACCUGGGAGGUGGAGGUUGCAAUGAGCUGAGAUGAUG
rnacentral:lncRNA from 1 species